CAAUGGAGCAGAUCAGAGUUGUUAGAGAAGAAAAGCAGCUGCUGAACUUUACUGGACUAUAAUACUGGAUGUUGGAUGGAAGAAAGACAUAAAGAGUUACAGAGACUUCUUCCUCCAUCUUGCAGCCUCCUCCUGCGGUUGAGCUGGUCAUUGACAUGCGGCUUCUCUCUGGUCACGUUGUUGAGGACAACAUGAGAAUUCCUGAUCAACAAGAGAGCUGUGAACGGUGUGG